UACGGGGGGAGCAAGCGUUGUUCGGAUUUACUGGGCGUAAAGGGCGCGUAGGCGGCCAGCACAAGUCAGUUGUGAAAUCUCCGAGCUUAACCCGGAGCGGUCAAGUGAUACUGUCGUGCUAGAGUGCGGAAGGGGCUACUGGAAUUCUCGGUGUAGCGGUGAAAUGCGUAGAUAUCGAGAGGGAACACCUGCGGCGAAGGCGGGUAGCUGGGCCGACACUGACGCUGAUGCGCGAAAGCCAGGGGAGCGAACGGG
rnacentral:rRNA from 1 species